CUUAUAUUAGGCAAUCCAAACCACGUGACCUCUGGUUGGCACACAAACUAACAAAGAGGUUAUGUUUGCAUCUAUUUUUCAAUGAUUUUUCAUUGUUUAUCGUCGUAUUUUGGAUUCAUUUGGAUUUCGUUUCCUGUUUUUGUGAACUUUAUAAACUUUACCACAAUGCAAACUGAUUAUUUAAGGAAAUUAUUAUUGGAAACUCCAGAUGUUGCGAGAAAGAUAUUUAUUGAAGCUGAAAAUAAUUGGGGAUUUAGAUCCAUACGCAAUUCAGUCAGAAUUAGAUUUUACAGUAAAGUGCAGUCCAUCAAGUUACUAUUAUAGAUAUUUAUACAUAUCUGGUGGAGUCUGAUAUGUCACAGUUGCUACUCUAAGCAGCAGAUGAAAGCAUACAAAAGCCUACAGGCACAUAAAUAUUUUACAGCUGGAUUUGUUUUGAAUGGAGUAAAAAUUGUUAAUGAUUUCCUGAUUUCCAUAUUAUUGUCGGGGAGGUAUGCCUUUAUUUUAUUUAUUCACCAUUAAGAAAUAUAUGGAUAACAGUAUUAGUGUCUUUUGGAUAAAUUGGUUUUAAAUAUUAGAUUUAUUUACGUCCUAAUCUGUAAACUGCGAACUCCAUAAUUCUCUGAAAAUGAUUUAUUACUGCCAUAUAUUUGAAUUACUGUCAUGAUUGUUCUAAAAUUAUAUUAUAUGAAUGUCUGAUUUUAAAUAAAAUAUUCUCAAUCAUUGUAAAGAACGCAAAUACUCUAAUAAAAAUAAAUUUUUGUAGUUGAAGAAUUUCCAAAAAAAUAAAAUAUUUUUUUUUAGGUGAAGCAUUUCCAAAAAUCUAAUGCUAAACGACUAAAUGCUUGGGUGGGGUGAUAGCCAGUUCUGAUGACAUAGCAAAUUCACAUUGUAUGCGUAUGGCCGGUAAUAGUGAAGUCUGCAGCCAUAUUGCAGCAAUCCUAUUUUUAGCUUAGUAUGCUCAGGGCAAGACAGACGAAGAACCCAAUGUAUGUACAUAUGUUACAGCUACAUGGUUUGGAGAUAGCAACAUAUGCAUUCUCUGAUGAAAAACUAAUGAGUUUUGAAACUGUUCGGUCAGAGUGCUUGUUGCACUCACUAAACGAAUUGAAAUAUAAGAUGGCUUUGGCAUUGUGUUGCAGCGAUAUGAAAAUGGUUAUUCAUUUUUAAUUAUAAUGUACUUCUUCAUCAUGAGUAAUUAUGUAUUGGUCUUUUAAAUGUGUAUUUAUUUUUGUAAUUAGUAUCAACUUGUAAUAAUAAUAUUCAUUUAUCGUUUAAGGUAUGACUAUGUUUUGACUCUAAAAUAAAUGUUUUAAAAAUCGAA